UCAAUCGAUUCCAUUUUAGAAAUUCUGGUUAGGCCAACAGUAAAAAGGUAAAUUUGGCAAAUUUACCUGCAUGUUCAAAACGAACCGGUGGCGAUCACGUUCAAUCUGACGACGGCAAUUCGUCGUGGUUUUCGGUGGAGCUAAACCACAGAAGAACGAAAACGGACGGCCUGCUGGAGUUCGCAGGAUGUGGAAGGAGGAGCAAGUACAUUGCCGUUGCGGUGACCAAUGCAGAAUUCGUCGCUACGGUACCUUCCAUGAAUACCAUCUGCACAGGCCAUUUGAUUUAUAGUUUACCCACCUUGUCGAUGCAUACGCUUUUUACUAUGAGAUUUACAAGAUAGAUCGUAAGGAACAGCGUUCUGUCCAAGAAGAACGAAUGGGCAAUCUCAAUAGAUAAGAUUGCGGUGGAGGAAGGGAUAUAUUUGGUGGGACCGGAUAAAAACAGUGGAACUCAAUAACAAGCUUCUUCUGGAAAUCAUGGCUGUUCAAGAUUUCUCAUUUCACCCUACAUGUCGAAAACCACCAUAGACAUCCCCAUCCAGGUCAACGUUAGGACAAAUGGCAAGGCAUACUUAUUUUACUGUGAUGAUUUGUAUUUGUUUGUAAGUAAUAAAAAUUCCCUUGGGGUUGGGGGGGAUGGUGGCUAGGGUGGGUGUUCUGCUAAGCUUUAUGAAAUAUCCGAAAAUCCGAGGGUGAGUUCACCAACAUUGGCAAAGUUGAAACGUUCAAUAAUUCAUAAGUACGUAUUACUAAUCUUUUUCAAGCAUAUACCUUGAGGUCGCCAUUCAUCGCUCGUUUCAUAUGAUUUAUAUUCGAAUUGUAUGAAACGAGCGGUGAAUGGCGAUUUUGAAGCAGUUUGUAAGUGAUUCUUGCGUUUAAUCUCUCAAGUUGCGAAGUGACGCAUU